CCUGAGUCCUCCCUUUUUUGGAAGCUGACACUGUAUGAACAGAGAACCACUGGCCAACAGCUGUCAUUAGAAGAUGCAAGCUUGGGAGUAGGAGGAAAAGGCAGCAUGGUUCUGUUACCCUCGAGCAUUUGUAGAAGGCGUGAGGUACUUUUUGCUUCUAAUUAAAACCAGAGGAAACACUGAAAGAAGGCCAGCCUUACACAUAAUGAAGAAGGGCCUGCGACUGACCUUUAGACACCAAGUCUGCAGAAAACCUGUGACUAUCCAGGUGUUUCAGACGGAGCAGCAAGCUUUCAUUCUCAGUUGUCGUCUUGCUUACUUUCGAAAGACUACAUGAACACUCUCCGAGAAAGGUAAACGUUUUACUUUUUCUCUGAAUUCUUCAAAUUUAAAGCAAAGUGUUUAUAAUGGAGAGAUGAACUUCCUUCCACAUCCUGUCCCUUAAAACUUGUGUGUCUAACGCUGGAGACAGAAGAUGAAAGUGAUUCAGUUACUCUAUUUAAGGCUCCAGAUCUAGUGCGAUCAAGUACCCACUACCUCUGGUGUUACCCCGACAUGUAAAGAGCUUAGAAUUCAUCACUCCUGUCCUUAAAAUAACAGAAAGCUGAAUAAAUGGAAAAUUGGCAACCA
rnacentral:lncRNA from 1 species